UGAGAUGAUGACCUCAGUGUAGCUGGAGGACCGGUUCCGGUUUGGUGGAAAUGUCUCUCUGGGCGGUGAAAUGGACACUUUGUCUCCUCGGCAUGGUGACCAGGAACGCCGCUUCACCUGGCCUGGAUUUUGGAGGCGAGUCCGGAUCCGGGAUGCUGCCGACAGGCCACUGGUCCAGUGAAGCUCAGAUGAGGAAUGAAUGGGGCAACACAUCAGAACAGCCAGAGACCUCAUCACCUUCAAUACUGGAGAAGAAAAACUCCCCACCUGAGCAUCACCACCCACAGCACCUUCACCUGUUGUUACUGUCACAUAUAAGAAGACCCCUAUACAAGCCACCAAUACCAACAUGUGUGUGUGUGUGUGUUCUAACCCUCCUUGAAGACAUUAAGGAGACUCAGAGGGUUCACAGUCGAAUGCUACAGUCUCUCCUGAAACAACGUGAAGGACCAGUCGCUGACGUUUUACCUGAGGUUUUGUUUUCCCUCUCUGGACUGGCACUGAUGGUAUUAAACCCGUUUCUACACAUCUGGUUUCCACACAUUUAUUGUGUGGGCCUAAUUUGGGUCAAAUCUCUAUGGUGUCAUUCUCAAAUGUUAAAAGUUGUUUCUGGUUCUCAAUAGUUUAAAACAGAAGUAAAUAAAUUGUUGUUUUGUGUACAUAUAUACUUGUCUUGGAAGUCUUGAUUCAUAGCUACAAGUUUACUUUAGUAUGCAGUUAUGUCUUAGAAAAUUAUAUGAGAUUGACAUGCGACCUCA